AAAUUGAGUAUUGCUCUUCAGAUCAUAUAAAUCUUUCUCCUUUUACUAAAGAUUUCCAUGGACAGCUGGGUUUUUUGAUGCUUAGCACCUUGUCUCUGCUCUUCCAGAGAA